GACGAACUCUGGCGGCGUGCUUAACACAUGCAAGUCGAACGGAAAGGCCUUUUCGGAGGUACUCGAGUGGCGAACGGGUGAGUAACACGUGGGUGAUCUGCCCUGCACUCUGGGAUAAGCCUGGGAAACUGGGUCUAAUACCGGAUAGGACCGCACUUUAGUGUGUGUGGUGGAAAGUUUUUUCGGUGUAGGAUGAGCCCGCGGCCUAUCAGCUUGUUGGUGGGGUAAUGGCCUACCAAGGCGGCGACGGGUAGCCGGACUGAGAGGUUGGUCGGCCACAUUGGGACUGAGAUACGGCCCAGACUCCUACGGGAGGCAGCAGUGGGGAAUAUUGCACAAUGGGCGCAAGCCUGAUGCAGCGACGCCGCGUGGGGGAUGACGGCCUUCGGGUUGUAAACUCCUUUCGCCAGGGACGAAGCGUUUUGUGACGGUACCUGGAGAAGAAGCACCGGCUAACUACGUGCCAGCAGCCGCGGUAAUACGUAGGGUGCAAGCGUUGUCCGGAAUUACUGGGCGUAAAGAGCUCGUAGGUGGUUUGUCACGUCGUCUGUGAAAUUCCACAGCUUAACUGUGGGCGUGCAGGCGAUACGGGCUGACUUGAGUACUGUAGGGGUAACUGGAAUUCCUGGUGUAGCGGUGAAAUGCGCAGAUAUCAGGAGGAACACCGAUGGCGAAGGCAGGUUACUGGGCAGUUACUGACGCUGAGGAGCGAAAGCAUGGGUAGCAAACAGGAUUAGAUACCCUGGUGGUCCAUGCCGUAAACGGUGGGCGCUAGGUGUAGGGGCCUUUUGGGGUUUCUGUGCCGUAGCUAACGCAUUAAGCGCCCCGCCUGGGGAGUACGGCCGCAAGGCUAAAACUCAAAGGAAUUGACGGGGGCCCGCACAAGCGGCGGAGCAUGUGGAUUAAUUCGAUGCAACGCGAAGAACCUUGCCAGCUCUUGACAUCUUCUGACAACUCUAGAGAUAGAGCGUUCCCUUCGGGGACAGAAUGACAGGUGGUGCAUGGUUGUCGUCAGCUCGUGUCGUGAGAUGUUGGGUUAAGUCCCGUAACGAGCGCAACCCUUGUUGUUAGUUGCCAGCAUUAAGUUGGGCACUUUAACGAGACUGCCGGUGAUAAACCGGAGGAAGGCGGGGAUGACGUCAAAUCAUCAUGCCCCUUAUGAGCUGGGCUACACACGUGCUACAAUGGAUGGUACAACGAGCAGCGAUCCCGCAAGGGCUAGCUAAUCUUUCAAAGCCAUUCUCAGUUCGGAUUGCACUCUGCAACUCGAGUGCAUGAAGUCGGAAUCGCUAGUAAUCGCGAAUCAGAAUGUCGCGGUGAAUCCGUUCCCGGGUCU
rnacentral:rRNA from 1 species